rnacentral:tRNA from 1 species
UGGGAGAUCGUCUAAUGGCAGGACAACAGACUUUGGAUCUGUUUAUCUAGGUCCGAAUCCUAGUCUCCCAG